rnacentral:lncRNA from 1 species
UAUUAAAUUUCAGUGGGUAACCCGCAAACAUUUCUACUCACGUACUGUUAAGUGUCAAGGACAACAGAGCAUCCUCUGCAUGCAAAAAUGAUGUCCAUUGCCCGGGGAUGUCCCAAAAAUUUGUUUGAUUGCUGCUAUAUUUUUGGUGGGGACGACUAGAAUGGAAACAAGGUGCCAUAAAAACAACGGAAAAUGUUAAAUCUAGAGCAGCAAUUUUAGUUCCAGAGCAAUAUUCAAUUCUAAGCCCCCCUUGCAUUACACAAUUCUUGCAUUUUCAAUACAAAUGAUGCCAAGCAUCGUCUAGCUUUAUUCACUGAGCACAAGACGCUGACACUGGCACAAUGAAAAUGUCACUAUCCAUGCUAAUAAACUGAAAUCAGUAAAAAGACUAAGAUUAUACAUAUAUAUAUAUAUUCUUCAUGUUCCAAGGCUCAGGGACUCCUUGAACACAUAGCAGCCGCAAUGCAGGGUGUAAAAUCCAAUGAUCCUACAAACUCGUAUUAACUGAGCAAUAUGUAUCUACGAGUGAAACAAUAGGUUGCGUUGAGUAAGCAUAAAUUGUUCACCAGAUCUAUCAAUCUAUCAAACCACCUCUACCCCCUAUAUGUGAUUAAAGCCCAAAAAUUUAACCAACUUUAAAUAUAUAUAAAAACAACAUAUACUAAUAAUCUAUAGAUGGCCAAAGCGACCUUCCUUCCGAGCAUGCGACUUUGGUUUAUGUUGUCCAUCUGAUGCUUCACUAUUGACUCCUUCUAGGGGUCGUGUGACAAUUCUUAGGGGGUGGGCUUCUGUGUUGAAAACCCACUCGUCCAACGAGAUAACAGAAGUAGGUGAAAAAAGUAGAUAAAGAUAUUUAAGCGUUUCUGCAAGGAAGAAGCUCUGCAUCAUGUCGUCCUUUACUCCGCUAUUAACCUAGUAAUCAUGGAAAAUAAUUAAUUGGUCAAGCAACUUCUAGCAUAUAAUUUGAUUGGAACAAUAGCCUUUCCACUAAGAGUUACAGUCGUUUCCACUAGAAAGAAAUACACUAUUAAAACAAUCAUAAUGUCUCGUUAAUUCAUAAACAGAAUGAUAAAUGGCAUCAUUGAUCAAGAAAACAUUCAUAAAAAAUGACAGAAUAGCAAAGACAAGCCAUAACCUACACACAUAUCAGAUUUCUAGUAAAGUUUCCACACAAAGUUGGCACUAAAGAACCAGAGGUGAUAAGGCAAGUUUGUUUGCUUCUGUUACUUGAUGCAUGGAAACAACUCAUCGACACAAAGAUGCUAGCCAAAGAUAAGAAAUAGCAAUCUUUAACAUCUUCAGGCAAAACUUCUGAAGAUAUGAUUGAGUGUAGCUACAAAGUUAUUAUUAUAUUAGCUAUUUAGUAACCGACAUAUUUACUAUAUUCAUAAACUCUAUAAUUAUUCAUAUUUAAAGUAAUAUAGUAUUUUAAUUUUAUUAAUUUAUCAUAUAUAUUUCGAUUAAAAAAUAUAUAUAAAGAUUAAUCGGAUUUCAAAAGUUGAAUCGGUGGCCGACCUUGCAUGGGAUUAAUCGAUUAUAUCAAGAAUUUUUAGAAUCCUUAUGUACGGGAUACAAGGUUGUUCACUAACCGAACUGGAUCCAAAUCUACGUAGAUAAACAAAUAAUUUCACCAUAGAUUUCUCAUUUUAUGUGCAUAUAUGUUAUAUCUAAUCAAUUUUUUUAUUCUAUUUCCAAGCCAAAGAAUUAAUAUCACUUUAUAACCUAAAAAAUUAAUCAUAAUGGAAAAGAAUGCUUAAAUAAACAUAUUUUCAUAAUUACUUGGCCUAAUAUUAAAUUUCAGUGGGUAACCCGCAAACAUUUCUACUCACGUACUGUUAAGUGUCAAGGACAACAGAGCAUCCUCUGCAUGCAAAAAUGAUGUCCAUUGCCCGGGGAUGUCCCAAAAAUUUGUUUGAUUGCUGCUAUAUUUUUGGUGGGGACGACUAGAAUGGAAACAAGGUGCCAUAAAAACAACGGAAAAUGUUAAAUCUAGAGCAGCAAUUUUAGUUCCAGAGCAAUAUUCAAUUCUAAGCCCCCCUUGCAUUACACAAUUCUUGCAUUUUCAAUACAAAUGAUGCCAAGCAUCGUCUAGCUUUAUUCACUGAGCACAAGACGCUGACACUGGCACAAUGAAAAUGUCACUAUCCAUGCUAAUAAACUGAAAUCAGUAAAAAGACUAAGAUUAUACAUAUAUAUAUAUAUUCUUCAUGUUCCAAGGCUCAGGGACUCCUUGAACACAUAGCAGCCGCAAUGCAGGGUGUAAAAUCCAAUGAUCCUACAAACUCGUAUUAACUGAGCAAUAUGUAUCUACGAGUGAAACAAUAGGUUGCGUUGAGUAAGCAUAAAUUGUUCACCAGAUCUAUCAAUCUAUCAAACCACCUCUACCCCCUAUAUGUGAUUAAAGCCCAAAAAUUUAACCAACUUUAAAUAUAUAUAAAAACAACAUAUACUAAUAAUCUAUAGAUGGCCAAAGCGACCUUCCUUCCGAGCAUGCGACUUUGGUUUAUGUUGUCCAUCUGAUGCUUCACUAUUGACUCCUUCUAGGGGUCGUGUGACAAUUCUUAGGGGGUGGGCUUCUGUGUUGAAAACCCACUCGUCCAACGAGAUAACAGAAGUAGGUGAAAAAAGUAGAUAAAGAUAUUUAAGCGUUUCUGCAAGGAAGAAGCUCUGCAUCAUGUCGUCCUUUACUCCGCUAUUAAC